rnacentral:rRNA from 1 species
CUCAUAGCGUAUGUUAAGUUGUUGCGGCUAAAAAGCUCGUAGUUGGAUUUCUAGAUGAGAGGAGUGGUCCACUCUAUGAGUGUGUAUCUACUUCCGCUCGUCUAUCCGCUCUGCAAACGUGUCUGCGCUUGACUGCGUGGUACGGAGGUAGGGCCUUUUACUUUGAGGAAAUUAGAGUGUUCACGGCAGGCAAUCGCCUUGAAUAUAUUAGCAUGGAAUAAUAACAUAGGAUCUUGGUUCUAUUUUGUUGGUUUCUAGGACUAAGAUAAUGAUUAAUAGGGACAAUUGGGGGCAUUCGUAUCGCGGUGUCAGAGGUGGAAUUCUUGGAUUACUGCGCGAUGAACUACUGCGAAAGCAUUUGCCAAGGAUGUUUUCAUUGAUCAAGAACGAAAGUAAGGGGAUCGAAGACGAUUAGAUACCGUCGUAGUCUUUACCAUAAACUAUGCCAACUAGAGAUGGGGCGUCGUUCUUACAUGACUCGCUCCGCACCUUAUGAGAAAUCAAAGUUUUUGGGUUCCGGGGGGAGUAUGGUCGCAAGGCUGAAACUUAAAGGAAUCGACGGAAGGGCACCACCAGGAGUGGAGCCUGCGGCUUAAUUUGACUCAACACGGGAAAACUCACCAGGUC